rnacentral:rRNA from 1 species
UACGUAGGGUGCGAGCGUUGUCCGGAAUUAUUGGGCGUAAAGGGCUCGUAGGCGGUUUGUCGCGUCGGGAGUGAAAACUCAGGGCUUAACCCUGAGCCUGCUUCCGAUACGGGCAGACUAGAGGUAUGCAGGGGAGAACGGAAUUCCUGGUGUAGCGGUGAAAUGCGCAGAUAUCAGGAAGAACACCCGUGGCGAAGGCGGCUCUCUGGGACGGUACUGACGCUGAGGUGCGAAAGCGUGGGGAGCAAACAGG